UUGGCGUACCUGUCAUAAUAAUGAGGUUUGCGCAAUCUUCCCCAAAGCCACCCCAAAAUAUUGAUUGCUCAGUCUGUUCAGUCUUAUGUCAUCCACGAGUCGAAUGAGUAGUUUGAGUUUUAUCCAUUGUUGUAGGUCAGGAAAAUUGAUGAUCUUACUAGUUACAGAAAAUGAAACCACAGGUUAUGCCAUAUAUAAUGAGUGGAGAAACAAAGAAGAUUACUAAAGGACAAAUGAGUGAUCAAGAUGACAAAACUUGAAGCUGACAUGAACCAGGAACCAACUUGUGAAAGCUAUCGACGAUGGAGUGAAGGAGAUUCCUUUGAUUUAGUAGAUUCUUGAAGCUAAAUAAUUCCACAAGUUAACCUGAAUAAAAAUAGAACCUGAAAUAAACAAGGAACGAAACUUUUAGAGGUAUUAACGUUUUGUUCAAAAAAAGGACUAAUUAUGACAGUUUACCACAGCCAUUUUCAUACGAAGAUUAACCUGAUUCUUUUUGAGAAACAAGAUAAAAAGGAAUGGAAUUGAAUCUCAACAACUGCUAUACUAUACACGUUGAAUGUGUUGAUAAUUGUAAUAAUUACUUAAAAUAGGUAAUAUUUUAAGUAACAUUAAGAUUCCUGAGAUGUGUAAUGAUGUAUUAUACUAUACCAUUGUCAAAUAAUAAGGUUUAUUACCUGCUGCCCUUUGAAUGUUGGGGUAUAUUAAUUUGACAAUUAAUUACUUAUUCAUUGGUGCUGUUGUUUCUAACGUCACCACUUAAAAUCGAUUAUUUAUACCAAUAUAUAUGAACUGUAGGUGGAUUGUUAGAGGUUCAUCUUUACCUAAGUCAUUCUCUUGUCCAAAUUUUUUGGAUAUGUAAUAAUUGUAAGACGAUUCUUAUGGCAACGUUUCUUUAACACUUGUGUCAUUUUCUCGUUUUGAUGGGUAUUAAACACAUAUCUCAUCAACUGUUGUACGUACAACCUUCUUUCCUGCUUCAAUCCUCGUAAAUUCCCUUCUUAGGUAAACUUGGAAUUUUAAUGUCUUUUCUUUUGUUUGUCUUGAGGAACAUCUUUAAAUUAUUCAAUUGCUGCUAAAAGUUCCUUUACCAAUUUGGCAAUUAUUGUGAAUUUGUAGAUGAGUCCGACCAUUUGAGGUAAUUUAACAGUUACAACAAACAU